rnacentral:rRNA from 1 species
CGGUGGAGCAUGUGGUUAAUUCGAAGCAACGCGAAGAACCUUACCAGGCCUUGACAUGCAGAGAACUUUCCAGAGAUGGAUUGGUGCCUUCGGGAACGUCUGACACAGGUGCUGCAUGGCUGUUGUCAGCUCGUGUCGUGAGAUGUUGGGUUAAGUCCGUAACGAGCGCAACCCUUGUCCUUAGUUACCAGCACGUUAUGGUGGGCACUCUAAGGAGACUGCCGGUGACAAACCGGAGGAAGGUGGGGAUGACGUCAAGUCAUCAUGGCCCUUACGGCCUGGGCUACACACGUGCUACAAUGGUCGGUACAAAGGGUUGCCAAGCCGCGAGGUGGAGCUAAUCCCAUAAAACCGAUCGUAGUCCGGAUCGCAGUCUGCAACUCGACUGCGUGAAGUCGGAAUCGCUAGUAAUCGUGAAUCAGAAUGUCACGGUGAAUACGUUCCCGGGCCUU